AAGGGAGGUCCUACAUUUCCGAAAUGUUUGCUGCAAGUAUCAACAAAGACAGCUCUUGAUAUAUAACAGAAGUGAGUCCUCUGGUCAGGAAGGUCAUGUUUUCACUCCGCUAACCAUCACUGAAUGCUACAACAGCAACAAAAGAACCACUUCAUUUGACUGCUAGGGCUCCACUAGCCCUUCAGCACCGCAUUAUUUCCUGAUGGUGACGAGCCCGAUGUAUUCACAGAUACAACUGCCAAGUCAAAUGUUACAUUCUGUCUGCCCUGAGGGCCUCAGGAUGUAAGGUGCAGACCAUGAACUGCAACAUGCCUGGAUCAAGUCUUCCUGGGAACCUUUGUUGUGUGUUCCCCAUUUCUCUGUCAUUGAUGUCUCUGUCCCAUCAUUUCCAGUCAUCUCUCUACUCUUCUCACUAAUAAAAAGACACAAAUACCCAAAAUGUGAUGAUAUAUCAGAAACCAACCCAACACUUGUGUUCAAUCUUUCAGCUUUACAGAACAUACUGCUGAAAUUCCUGACCGACUGGCAUGAAAGUGGGUGAAUAUGAAUCAUCUGAAUAUUGGCAGAAAUUACAGUUGUAAUUGUAUGCCCUUCCAGCUGCAAGUCUGCACAAGCCAGGAUAGUCAACCACAGAACAGCUCCCCCCUCAGGCUCAUCUGGCUCAACAUGGGAUUGAGCCCAGGCUGAACAGCUGAAGGACAGAAACUGUGUGUACACCAUGCUACUUCUGAAAUGGUGCUACCUCCAUUCAAAGAUAACAGGCAAUGGUCUUCAGACAUGCAGACUUUAAUAUGACGGUGUAUGUGUGCAUGUCAGUGCUGAAUAAAUCCAGCAGGUGGAGUCAGAGAGCACAUGACAGAGCUGAGAUAUACGGCAAAGAACAGCAUCCUCUGUAUUCACCAUGCAAAUACUCAAGGUACACGCCAUUUAAAUUACUGUAUAACCACUUUUUUCACAGCCACUAUUCUCAUUUUCAUUUGCUGAUAUUAACAUCUCUGUCUGCACUGCUACAUUUUAACCAGACCUAUAACACUAUGUCUAACAAUAUGUUUUUUUUAUUAUAUAUAUAUAUAUAUAUAUAGUGUAAUAUGAAGGUGGGAUUCAAAACUGAUUUUAAACAUGACAAGGUUUCUGAUGGAUCAUUUUUAAAAGUCAUCAAUUCACAUGGGUAUAUUCAACACACACCCAAAUCAGUAACAAUCUGGUAUCUGGUAUACAUUACUAAGCAUGUUCUCCAGCCUAAAUCACCAUAUAUGACACCUGUAACCUUUAAAUUCUGCUUUAAUUCCUUUCUCAUUAAAAUCAGGGAAAAAUGCUCUGGCAACAUUAA